AGAGUUUGAUUCUGGCUCAGGACGAACGCUGGCGGCGUGGAUUAGGCAUGCAAGUCGAACGGUAUGGUGCUUUCGGGCAUCAGAGAGUGGCGAACGGGUGAGUAACACGUAGGUUAUCUACCCUCAAGACGGGGACAACCCAGGGAAACUUGGGCUAAUACCGGAUGAAAGCAACCGUGAGGUUGUUUAAAAGAUGGCUUUAAGCUGUCGCUUGGGGAUGAGCCUGCGUCCUAUUAGUUAGUUGGUGAGGUAACGGCUCCCCAAGGCAAUGAUAGGUAGGCGGCCUUAACGGGUGGUCGCCCACACUGGGAUUGAGAAACGGCCCAGACUCCUACGGGAGGCAGCAGUCGAGAAUAGUCUACAAUGGCCGAAAGGCUGAUAGUGCGACGCCGCGUGAACGAGGAAUCCCUUCGGGGUGUAAAGUUCUUUUAUAUGUGAGCAGUGCCGGCUAUAUUAAUAGUAUAGUUGGAGAGAUAUUAGCAUAUGAAUAAGCAACGGCUAACUCCGUGCCAGCAGCCGCGGUAACACGGGGGUUGCAAGCGUUGUCCGGAAUUACUAGGCGUAAAGGGCAGGCAGGCGGACCUGCAAGUUUUCUGUUAAAGACGUCAGCUCAACUGGCGCACGGCAGGAGAUACUGCAGGUCUUGAAUGCGGUUGGGGAAGACAGAAUUCCUGGUGUAGCGGUGGAAUGCGCAGAGAUCAGGAGGAAUACCAAAGGCGAAGGCAGUCUUCCAAGCCGUUAUUGACGCUGAACUGCGAAGGUGUGGGUAUCAAACAGGAUUAGAUACCCUGGUAGUCCACACAGUAAACGAUAAUCACUAGGUGUCGGUUUCGUAUAGGAUUCGGUGCCGUAGCUAACGCGUUAAGUGAUUCGCCUGGGGAAUACGAUCGCAAGGUUGAAACUCAAAGGAAUUGACGGGGGCCCGCACAAGCGGUGGAGCAUGUGGUUUAAUUCGAGGCAACGCGAAGAACCUUACCCGGUUUUGACAUCUGUGGUAACCUGCAGAGAUGUGGGUGUGCCGGUUUACCGGAGCCACAAGACAGGUGCUGCAUGGCUGUCGUCAGCUCGUGUCGUGAGAUGUUGGGUUAAGUCCCGCAACGAGCGCAACCCCUGCUUUCAGUUACCAUCAUUAAGUUGGGGACUCUGGAAGGACCGCUGCGGUAACAACGCAGAGGAAGAUGGGGACGAUGUCAAGCAAUCAUGGUCCUUAUGACCGGGGCUACACACGUGCUACAAUGGCAGUUACAGAGGGAAGCGAAGCUGUAAAGUGGAGCGAAUCUCAUAAAAGCUGCCUCAGUUCGGAUUGAGGUCUGCAACUCGACCUCAUGAAGUUGGAAUCGCUAGUAAUCGCGCAACAUCAUGGCGCGGUGAAUACAAAGGGGGGCCUUGUACACACCGCCCGUCAAG
rnacentral:rRNA from 1 species